rnacentral:rRNA from 1 species
CCCUUAGAUGUCCUGGGCCGCACGCGCGUUACACUGAUGCAUUCAACGAGCUUAUAACCUUGGCCGAGAGGCCUGGGCAAUCUUGUUAACGUGCAUCGUGAUUGGGAUAGAUGAUUGCAAUUCUUCAUCUUCAACGAGGAAUGCCUAGUAAACGCAAGUCAUCAGCUUGCAUUGAUUACGUCCCUGCCCUUUGUACACACCGCCCGUCGCUCCUACCGAUUGAAUGAUCCGAUGAAUACCAUGGAUUGAGAGUACGAAUAGGUUCGCUUAUUUCUGCUGCUCGAGAAGUGGAGUAAAUCUUAUCAUUUAGAGGAAGGAGAAGUCGUAACA